rnacentral:rRNA from 1 species
GGGGACCUUCGGGCCUCGCGCUAUAGGGGUUGGCCGAUGGCUGAUUAGCUAGUUGGUGGGGUAAAGGCCUACCAAGGCGACGAUCAGUAGCUGGUCUGAGAGGACGACCAGCCACACUGGGACUGAGACACGGCCCAGACUCCUACGGGAGGCAGCAGUGGGGAAUUUUGGACAAUGGGCGAAAGCCUGAUCCAGCAAUGCCGCGUGUGUGAAGAAGGCCUUCGUUUUGUAAAGCACUUUUGUCCGGAAAGAAAUCCUUGGCUCUAAUACAGUCGGGGGAUGACGGUACCGGAAGAAUAAGCACCGGCUAACUACGUGCCAGCAGCCGCGGUAAUACGUAGGGUGCAAGCGUUAAUCGGAAUUACUGGGCGUAAAGCGUGCGCAGGCGGUUUGCUAAGACCGAUGUGAAAUCCCCGGGCUCAACCUGGGAACUGCAUUGGUGACUGGCAGGCUAGAGUAUGGCAGAGGGGGGUAGAAUUCCACGUGUAGCAGUGAAAUGCGUAGAGAUGUGGAGGAAUACCGAUGGCGAAGGCAGCCCCCUGGGCCAAUACUGACGCUCAUGCACGAAAGCGUGGGGA